CGAACGGGUGAGUAACGCGUGAGGAACCUGCCUCAAAGAGGGGGACAACAGUUGGAAACGACUGCUAAUACCGCAUAAGCCCACGGGUCGGCAUCGACCAGAGGGAAAAGGAGCAAUCCGCUUUGAGAUGGCCUCGCGUCCGAUUAGCUAGUUGGUGAGGUAACGGCCCACCAAGGCAACGAUCGGUAGCCGGACUGAGAGGUUGAACGGCCACAUUGGGACUGAGACACGGCCCAG
rnacentral:rRNA from 1 species